CCUUCUCCUUACCCAUAGAGCAACUUAAUUUCCCUCACUCUCUUCACCUCCAUCCUCCUCUACCAAAUCGUCUAGCUCACUGUCUGCUGAAGGAAAGACCCCGACCAGCACGUAGAAUCCAGGAUUUAUAUGAGCCUUUUAACCUGCUUAUGAUACAUAAUAACACAGGCUACUUGAUGUUAGUUUUGUCUCACGUCCUCAGUAGCACCAGGAGAUGAAGAGAAAGCUGCCACUGCUCCUCUCUCUGUGGCUGCUCCUAAAACCAAGGGCCAUGUGUCUCAUGAUGUUAGGCGUUGAAAGAUAUUUUAUUUGUUCAAUAGAUAUAUUAUUAUAUGACAUUGUAAGUAUAAUGCUGAUUCAUUUGUGAUAUUGAUAAAUUCAUGUUAUGCAAAGGAAGCUCCAUUCGCGAUCGACUGCCUUCAAUUCGAACUACUGAUAUUAUCUUAAACCAUUCUUAAACCAUGUGGAUGUCCACAGAAGGAGGGUACAGAUACACAGGAUUUACUUUCACUCCAGUUCUCUUUAUUCUGGUACAAAAGUAUCCGACACACAAACGGUGUCAACAGUGGGUCUGAAACUUGAUGUAGUAAAAAAUGAUAGUCACCAAGAGGAACACUAGCUGUGCAGUUGCGAUAUUGAGCCGCCAGGUGGCGCUAAAACGACACAUAUGUAAGAAAUCCAUCAAGUUUGUAGAAAUCCAUAAGAAUGAAUUGUAUAACUCUUACACCCGCUUGUUGCAUACACCAUUUUUUAAUUGGCAACCAGUGACAACUGAAACAGCCAUCACGUUUCAAAGCACAGCCACAGUAUACAUGGCCGUGAACAGAGAGUUGCUCUGCAAAAAGGUCAUCACGGUGCACUGUUCCACCAUUGAGGCUUAAUCUAAAUCAGUGAAAUCACACUUAUUAUUUUAGUUUAAUGUAAUUUAAGGAUGUAAUGUAAGAUUAAACAACGAGCUGAAAUGUAUUCGCCGCUACCAAGGCCACCAGAGGGCGCCGAACCUGCUUUGCGUUUUGCUAAUUAGCUCACCUGCCGCAGCUCGCGCGCUAUGGGCACGCUAAUUAGUUAAUUUGUUGCGUCUGGUUGGGUUCUGUUCAUAUGGAACCAGACAGCACGUUGUUGUCCACCACUGUUUGGCAGCGUUAUGUCUCCCAGACAAGGUUACAAAGACUUUUUGAAGUAAAACGGAGCAUUUCAUAUGGAGCUGAUUUCUAUCCUGGAGAUGAAACUGCAGUUCUGUGAGUAUCCCAAUUGAACCAUGAAGAAGAAACUGCGAACUGUAAGUCAUUGGUUUCAUUAUUAUUGGGCACUGCAAUGUAUUUUGGGUUAACCUGUUUAGUGAACAUUGCUUUGAGUAGUGUGGAUGUUUUAUUGGUGCAUGAGCUACUUAAGCGUUUGAGUUGGUACUAAUGGUUUCAAGUACAGGUUAGAAGUGUUGUAAAGCGUAAUAGAGAAUUCUGUGGGUACAACCAAAACAUACUUCAGGGUUGGUUGCUGAUUUCUUUUGUCUUCUUUCCUGCUACUCUCCUGAGCUCUUCAUCUUCAUCACAUGAGUGUCGCUUUACAGAUGAGGGUGUAUCUGAGUGAGCAGAGGUGCAUGAUGGGAUACAGGUCUGUCUGAAGUCUACUGGUCUGUAGAAACGACCACUCAGGAGAAACCAAGGAUUUGAGAAUCUGUUUUGAUGUGCGUUUCAUGGACUAGAGUAUCCUUUAAGAUGGGGACAGGGAUUCCCAAAGGAGAAACACCAGGGGGAGAUGUGAGUGCUCCUCAUCUCAACAACUGGAACACUACUUCGUUCUUGCACCAGAGAACCAUAGAGCUCAUUUCAACAUUCUCCUCCAUGUAUUGUGAAGCCUCAGCGACUGUUUCUCUACCUCCACAGCUGUCAGAGCACAACUCCAGUUCAGAAAUGGUCACAGUUGGGGGCCAUUCCAAGAUGGUUUCUGAUUUCACCAGAGCCAUCUUCCAGGUCCAGCUGCCCUUCCAUCUUGAGGGUUGGCGUGUACAAAACCCUGUACACAGAAAGCUUCUAUUUGGUCCAGUUGAGGGCUUGUCAGCCUACUGAGGAUAGAGAUAUUCUACAAGAGUGUUUGACAUUGUAUUGCUCUGUGGCAUCUGGGUUUGACAUGAGAUGGAAAUGGUUCAUUUGUCAGCAUGACAAGGGUUCGCUCUGGUAUUGGAGUUCUGCAUAAGUGUGUGACCUGGGUUCUACAUGUGUCCUGGGUUCGCUCUGGUGUUGGCGUUCUCCUGGGUUUGCUCUGGUAUUGGAGUUCAACGUGCAUGUCCUUGGUUCGAUCUGGUAUUGGAGUUCAACGUGCAUGUCCUUGGUUCGAUCUGGUAUUGGAGUUCAACGUGCAUGUCCUUGGUUCGAUCUGGUAUUGGAGUUCAACGUGCAUGUCCUUGGUUCGAUCUGGUAUUGGAGUUCAACACGCGUGUCCAUGGUUCGAUCUGGUAUUGGAGUUCAACGUGCAUGUCCUUGGUUCGAUCUGGUAUUGGAGUUCAACGUGCAUGUCCUUGGUACGACCUGGUAUUGGAGUUCAACGCGUGUGGCCAGGGUACGACCUGGCAUGGGAUUCUACGUGUGUCCUGGGUUCAACCUGGUGUGCGUCCAUCUGAGUGACAUGGGGUAUUGGAAUUGUCAACCUAAUCUAAAUGGAUGGAUGAGCACCUGGUUUGCUUAAGGACUUGGCCGACGUGAAGAGCCUGGAACGAUGCUCCGCAAUGAUAUCCCAACACACUGGACAGGAAGACGGGAGUUGGAUUGGAAUCAAGUGUAAAGAAAGGAUGCGAAAGGCUGGUUUGGAUCACUGACUACAAAUUAGAACUACACCAAUAAGGAACAAUGGAGGAAGUAUACCAAAUGGAUUCCACAAGAAGAGUCUGAAGUUGGAAAUCGACCUAAAUGGAUAUUCAAGAUGACCUUCAGAGCUGUAGUGAGGCGCCUCUUCCUACCUGCUGGAUGGACAGCGAGCCCUGUGGACCGUGUCUUGUGUCGUAUUGCUUUCAGAUGCACAUCUUCUCUGACUGAAAUAUAUUGUUUCCUGGCUAGGUGAACCUGGGAGAUGGGUUCUGUGAAUCAGAAACAAUCUUUGAACUAUCCUAACUCGGGUCCGCCUCAAGCUGAAGUUGUGCUCUUCUUCAGCUGAGGACGUUUGGAAACCUUCAAGAUGUAUAGAGGGGAACGUUGCAGUGGGUUCCAUGGUUCUCUGAUGGAAAUCCUUGGUUGUAUUCUACUGGCUGAGAGGAAAAACACACGCAUCUUUCUCUUGGCGUUUCUUCCUUUUAGAAUCCCUGUCGCCAUCUUGAAGGAUAUUCCACUUUAUGUAACUGAUGUCCUUACGGCUUCGCAAACUUUGGUUUCUCCAGAGGGGCGUGUCUACAGAAUUGUAUACUUCAGACGGCAUUGUAUCCUAGAAUGAAUCUCUGCUUACUCAAACCACACCUCCAUUAGUACGGCAACACUAUAGCGAUGGAGGUGCAUAGUCUUUGAGUAACUGGGGAGCAGAUAACGGGGAUUAGAAAACAAUGUCAUGUUAAGUCUGUAGAUCUUUAAAUCAUGAUUGUUAAAUGGGAGUUCAGGAAUAGAGUUGAUUUAAUUAUGUGCAGUCCCUU